rnacentral:rRNA from 1 species
GGCGGACGGGUGAGUAAUGCUUGGGAACUUGCCUUUGCGAGGGGGAUAACAGUUGGAAACGACUGCUAAUACCGCAUAAUGUCUACGGACCAAAGGGGGCUUUUAGCUCUCGCGUGAAGAGAGGCCCAAGUGAGAUUAGCUAGUUGGUGAGGUAAAGGCUCACCAAGGCGACGAUCUCUAGCUGUUCUGAGAGGAAGAUCAGCCACACUGGGACUCAGACACGGCCCAGACUCCUACGGGAGGCAGCAGUGGGGAAUAUUGCACAAUGGGGGAAACCCUGAUGCAGCCAUGCCGCGUGUGUGAAGAAGGCCUUCGGGUUGUAAAGCACUUUCAGUUGUGAGGAAAGGUUGGUAGUUAAUACCUGCCAGCUGUGACGUUAACAACAGAAGAAGCACCGGCUAACUCCGUGCCAGCAGCCGCGGUAAUACGGAGGGUGCGAGCGUUAAUCGGAAUUACUGGGCGUAAAGCGCACGCAGGCGGUUUGUUAAGCUAGAUGUGAAAGCCCCGGGCUCAACCUGGGAUGGUCAUUUAGAACUGGCAGACUAGAGUCUUGGAGAGGGGAGUGGAAUUCCAGGUGUAGCGGUGAAAUGCGUAGAGAUCUGGAGGAACAUCAGUGGCGAAGGCGACUCCCUGGCCAAAGACUGACGCUCAUGNUGCGAAAGUGUNGGGUAGCGAACAGUGAUUAGAUACCCUGGUAGUCCACACCGNUAAACGCUGUCUACUAGCUGUGUGUGAAUUUAAUUCGUGCGUAGCNGAAGCUAACGCGCUAAGUAGACCGNCCUGGGGAGUACGGNCCGNCAANGGUUAAAACUCAAAUGAAUUGACGGGGGCCCGCACAAGCGGUGGAGCAUGUGGUUUAAUUCGAUGCAACGCGAAGAACCUUACCUACACUUGACAUGCAGAGAACUUUCUAGAGAUAGAUUGGUGCCUUCGGGAACUCUGACACAGGUGCUGCAUGGCUGUCGUCAGCUCGUGUCGUGAGAUGUUGGGUUAAGUCCCGCAACGAGCGCAACCCUUGUCCUUAGUUGCCAGCAUUAGGUUGGGCACUCUAAGGAGACUGCCGGUGACAAACCGGAGGAAGGUGGGGACGACGUCAAGUCAUCAUGGCCCUUACGUGUAGGGCUACACA